AGGCGCACAGGGCGCGGCUACAGCAACUACUUCCUUCGCAACCCGUUGGUAGGGAGAAGGACGCCUCAGCCACUAGGCUGCUUCCGGUGUGUCACUGAACACCUUCCCCGUACCAGCAGCUGGAGGAUUUGUUUGGUAGCACCUGGGGGAUGGCUCUGUCCCGGGCGCACUUAGGCGGGCUGUGCGGAGCGCUUUACCUUCCACAGUGUCCGGCACACGCAUCCUUUUCGACAUCAUCACUUGACCUGCUGCAAUAGACAAGUCUUGCUGUGUUGCCCAGGCCGGAGUGCAGUGGUG
rnacentral:lncRNA from 1 species